rnacentral:rRNA from 1 species
AUGCUUCAACCGGCGUUCCUCGAGACGAAGAUAAGCCACCACCCGCUCGUAGGUAGGGUUCGCCAUGAGUGUGAGGUUGGAGGCAGCGUUGCCGAGAUCCUCAUUGAGGCCGGCGGUGAGGGUGGAGAGGAGCAACUCAUCGCCCACCUUGAAGCCGAUGUCAUUGAGCUCGUCGGAGAGGGUCUUGAGACGCAUGCAGUAGUCGUUGACGGAGGAGUCGUUUUGAUGACACCCGAAGAACUCCUGCUGCAGGAAGACGAUCCGUUGGAGCUUGUUGUCGGUGAAGAGACCGACGAUCUUGUUCCACACCGUGCAUGCAUCGUCCUUGUCGCGAACGACAGUAUGGAAGAUGUCUUUGGACACGGUGAGAAAGAGCCACCGGAUGAUGGUGGCGUCGAUUGCCAGCCAGUCGGCGUCGCGGUUGAGGACGAAGAGGUUGGCGGUGCCGUCGAUGUGGUCCUGCAGAUUAUACUCACGAAAGAGGAGCUUGAAGUAUGUCUUCCAAGCAUAGAAGUUCGCCUCUUUGUGGGAGAGGAUCACCGGGACGCGAUGUUCGAUGGGAACAUCACGGAUGUAGGCGGGAUCGGGAAGGGUGGCGGUGGAGGAGCCGGAGGAAGAGUCGAAGGGGUUCGGCGGCUUCACCACGGGAGGGGUGGAGGCGGCGGACCGGUCGGAAAGAAGGUUGGAACCCGACAUGGCUAG